rnacentral:rRNA from 1 species
GACGAACGCGGGCGGCGUGCUUAACACAUGCAAGUCGAACGGAAAGGCCCUGCUUUUGUGGGGUGCUCGAGUGGCGAACGGGUGAGUAACACGUGAGUAACCUGCCCUUGACUUUGGGAUAACUUCAGGAAACUGGGGCUAAUACCGGAUAGGAGCUCCUGCUGCAUGGUGGGGGUUGGAAAGUUUCGGCGGUUGGGGAUGGACUCGCGGCUUAUCAGCUUGUUGGUGGGGUAGUGGCUUACCAAGGCUUUGACGGGUAGCCGGCCUGAGAGGGUGACCGGCCACAUUGGGACUGAGAUACGGCCCAGACUCCUACGGGAGGCAGCAGUGGGGGAUAUUGCACAAUGGGCGGAAGCCUGAUGCAGCAACGCCGCGUGCGGGAUGACGGCCUUCGGGUUGUAAACCGCUUUCGCCUGUGACGAAGCGUGAGUGACGGUAAUGGGUAAAGAAGCACCGGCUAACUACGUG